UUUUUUUUAUUUUUUUUUUAGGUGAGGAUGGUGUCAAGUCAUCAUGGCCCUUACGGCCAGGGCUACACACGUGCUACAAUGGUCGGUACAAAGGGUUGCCAAGCCGCGAGGUGGAGCUAAUCCCAUAAAACCGAUCGUAGUCCGGAUCGCAGUCUGCAACUCGACUGCGUGAAGUCGGAAUCGCUAGUAAUCGUGAAUCAGAAUGUCACGGUGAAUACGUUCCCGGGCCUUGUACACACCGCCCGUCACACCAUGGGAGUGGGUUGCUCCAGAAGUAGCUAGUCUAACCGCAAGGGGGACGGUUACCACGGAAGUAUUCCG
rnacentral:rRNA from 1 species